AGAGUUUGAUCCUGGCUCAGGAUAAACGCUGGCGGCGUGCCUAACACAUGCAAGUCGAACGCCCUGCGCAAGCAGGGAGUGGCGGACGGGUGAGUAACACGUGGGUAUCUGCCUUGAGGUGAGGAAUACCGGCGAGAAAUCGCCGACAAGACCGCAUAUGCUCCUGAAAGGGAGGAAAGUCGCAAGACGCCUGAAGAUGA
rnacentral:rRNA from 1 species